UACGGGGGGAGCAAGCGUUGUUCGGAUUUACUGGGCGUAAAGGGCGCGUAGGCGGUCAGCACAAGUCAGUUGUGAAAUCUCCGGGCUUAACUCGGAAAGGUCAACUGAUACUGUGCGACUAGAGUGCGGAAGGGGCAACUGGAAUUCUCGGUGUAGCGGUGAAAUGCGCAGAUAUCGGGAGGAACACCAAUGGCGAAGGCAGCUCGCUGGGACGGUACUGACGCUGAGACGCGAAAGCGUGGGGAGCAAACAGG
rnacentral:rRNA from 1 species